UACGGAGGGGGCGAGCGUUAUUCGGAAUUAUUGGGCGUAAAGGGCGCGUAGGCGGCCCGGUAAGUCAAAGGUGAAAUCCCUCGGCUCAACUGAGGAACUGCCUUUGAAACUGUCGGGCUUGAGGCCGGGAGGGGGUAGCGGAAUUCCCAGUGUAGCGGUGAAAUGGCGUAGAUAUUGGGAGGAACACCGGUGGCGAAGGCGGCUACCUGGACCGGUUCUGACGCUGAGGCGCGAAAGCCAGGGGAGCAAACGGGAUAGAGUACC
rnacentral:rRNA from 1 species